ACAAGGUGCUAUCACCAAGGAAGGAACAGGAGUCUGAACAAUGUGACAGUAACACCACGGUGCACUUCUGGAAAACAACAUACUCAAACCGCCUGCCCUAAGACCUGAAGAUGUUUUAGGCUCCACCAGCCAUCAUGUACCAUCACCCACGAUUUGUGCUGAACAAAACUGUUCUCAGGGCUGACAAGGACACGCAGGACACCAGCCAUAAGAAACGGAACCGAAAGCUCUCCCGGUAGCCAGCUCCUAAUAGAGCUGUAUUCGCAGCACGCAGAACUCAGAGAACCACGUGCAAUAAUCAGCGCUACGGACGCUUUAUUCCAAGGGUUCUCAAGCCCAGUCCCCAUUGCCACCGGACCUGUUCUGCGCUCUUCCCUCCGCGGCUCCGCAGCCGCCUAACAGGGCGGGAAAAAGGAUGCAGGCACCGACCGGGACAAGAGGAACGAGCAACCAGGGCGCAGCCGGUGCGGCCGGCACGCCCCGGCGCAAAGCAGGGCCGCGGAAGCGACCAGGCGCCGAGAGAGAAGUGCAGCCCGCCGCACGCGUAGGCCCUCCCCUCCCGGAGCAGCGGCGCUACGCAGCCCCUUCCCCCAGCCGGCUCACCUCGCACGCGGGCAUCGCAGCACCCUCCGUCAGCCGGGGGAGGCUGCCCCGCGCCCGGCCCCACAAACGCUCCUCGGCGAACGCGCGCCCCGCGCCAGCCGCCGACCUUCGUCCCCAACGCACCGCGCACCAGCAGCCCCGGCGCGACCCGCGGCCAGCGGCAGUUCCUGAGCCGCCGCCCGGGAGAAGAAAGCCCCGCCGCCCGCUCGAGGACUCACAGGAAGUUCUCCAUGUAGAUCCUGACGAUGGAGCCCUCCACGAAGCGCGGCUUCCCGGCAUGGUGAUGGUUUCGUGUUGAGGAAGGCUGUGCAGCGGAUGGGUAGUGGGAGGCCUGCUGUUCUGUGAGAGAUAACGGCACCUGCACCGAGGGCUGCCAUCCGCGCCCCUACACUCCUUGCCCAUUCCGUGUGCCUCGUUCCACAGGGAGCCAGGAGCCAGAAAGCUAUUGAGAAUACGGGGGAGGGAGCUGGGGUGGGGAGGAAAGGAGUUGUGCGAGUUGGGAUCAACUAAAGAGUGAGUUAUCUUCAGCAACUGUAGGACUCUCUUUAAGAUCCACGUCCAAGAUGAAAGGACAGCAGCCUGUGCUAGUAAUGUCUGUGUGUGGAAGGAUAACGAAAAUAUCUGUGUAUCGUUUGUGAGACAACUAUAUUAAUUCUACAUCAAAUAUAUGUAGUUCUAUUUAAU
rnacentral:lncRNA from 1 species